UUGUAUUUUUUUUUAAUGUAUGUUACCUCAGAACUUUUGACCGGGUGGACCGAUUUCGACAAUUUUUUUUUAAUCGAAAGGUGGUGUGUGUCAAUUGGUCCCAUUUAAAUUUAUUUGAGAUCUAACAACUGCUUUUCGAGUUAUAUCUAAUAAUGUGUUUUUACUUGACGCUUUUUUCGUCGACCUACGUUGUAUUAUACCGCAUAACUUUCUACUGGAUGUACUGAUUUUGACGAUUCUUUUUUUUGUUGGAAAGGGG
rnacentral:misc_RNA from 1 species